rnacentral:rRNA from 1 species
UACGGGGGGAGCAAGCGUUGUUCGGAUUUACUGGGCGUAAAGGGCGCGUAGGCGGCCAGCACAAGUCAGUUGUGAAAUCUCCGAGCUUAACUCGGAAAGGUCAACUGAUACUGUGCGGCUAGAGUGCAGAAGGGGCAACUGGAAUUCUUGGUGUAGCGGUGAAAUGCGUAGAUAUCAAGAGGAACACCUGCGGCGAAGGCGGGUUGCUGGGCUGACACUGACGCUGAGACGCGAAAGCUAGGGGAGCGAACGGG